UCCUCACUUCCGGCCCAAAGAGGGCGGGGACCCAAACGCCGAGUUCCGGGCCCGGCUGAGCUGUGUUGCAUCAACAUUCUUCCCCCACGUCUUGACGCUGGGUUCCGGCCUAGGGUUCUGGCUUUCCUCCUGGGCUAGUGAACGCGGCGAAGUCCUCCUCUUUCUAAUCUCCAGAGCCGCAGUUCCAUCCUCUGGGUCAGCGGCUUACCCUGACUGGGCUGCGGUAUCUGCCUUCCUUCCCCCAACAAGGCGACAGGUAGUCGGGGCUGGGGCCGGAACUGACUGAGUGGGCCGCAACUGACUGAGUGGGCCGCGGCUCCCGCCUGAGGAGGCUAGGAAGGACUGAACAGCAGCCGACUUCCCAGGCUCUAAAAAUCGUGCCUCUGAGUUAGAGCUACCUCAAAAGCAAGACCAAGCAUGAGAAAUGGAGUCUUUUGGCCAGUAUUGGGGUGUUCGGAAUUCAAGCGUAUGAGAGAGUGGACGGUAGCGUUGAGAAUUUUCAUUUGAAGAUCUCGUCUUAACCACCCCAAGUGUAGUCAGAGGCGGCGUUUUCCCUGCGAGAGUGCCCUGGAACAAAGCAAGGAUAGCGUGGGUUAGACAUACCUGAAAUGAAAGCGUCUUACUUUAUCUAGGUACAUAUUUGCGUCAGUAAGGCGCAACGCCAUUUCUCUCUUGGAAUUCAGAAGUGAAAUAUGGUGACUGGGACGCCUGUACAUUGCUUUGACUUAAAAAUUGAAGUCCAUUAUUCUGACCGAAAGUUAAUCUGAUGAUUAAUUGGUUAAACAUACUAUCGUUGCUAAUUAGCAUAAUUAUUAUUUACAAUAAAGUGAGCUAAAUAGCUACAACUAAAAUAUAUUUAAAUUACUGUGAUAUUGUGAUGCUAAAGAUGUGUUGAAAUUAAUAUCUUGAAUUUCUCAACCCUGCCUAAAUGCCUCUGAGAGUAAUUAGUAUAAUUAAAAGUCACUAGAGAAAGUGAAUGACUCUAAUAACAGGAUAACAAAUUCUUUUCAAGUCAGAUGGUUUCCAGUUCUUUGCUUUCAACAAAAUUAAUGGUGGCCCAUGAAUUGUCAGCUGAUGAAGGAACACUAUUUGGUUUUUGGCAUGCAACUCGGAAAGAAACCAAACGAUUGAUUGACAUGCUUACAACAAAACUACUAGCAUUCUCACCUAUUUAUGUAAAACCAUUUCUCAGCACUUGUAUCUGUGAAAACAACAGAAUUGAAAAUGAACCCUGUUAAUCUACCAGUAGGAACUAUUCAUCCAGAUAAAUGAAUUAAUUGGUGGGUCAGCCCCAUCUAUCUCACUAAGAGAUGUGUUCCCAAUAGAAUUUCACCUUUUAUAACUGUGUGUUAUCAAUAUUUGCAAUCGUGUCAUUUUGAUCCAUUAUAUACUAAAGAUGAUUGUGAUGAUUACUCACUUCAGAAGAAUUCCAGCGUAGAGCCAUAAAGUUACACGAAAUUUUUUAAGGUUUACUACAUAUGUCAUAUUUUUAUUGCGAAGAAGUGAUCAAGAAAAGGUUGUUCAAACAUCAAAGUACUAUAUUUGAAUAACAUUUUUUGUUAGAGUACAAUCUAAAUAUGUUAGAGAUAAUAAAAGAACAAUGUUGAAGAGCUCAUUAGUGUAUGUUUUAAUGCAUAAUGGUGGUUAUUCAGUU
rnacentral:lncRNA from 1 species